UACGUAGGGGGCAAGCGUUGUUCGGAUUUACUGGGCGUAAAGGGCGCGUAGGCGGCCACCGCAAGUCGACUGUGAAAUCUCCGGGCUUAACCCGGAAAGGUCAGCCGAUACUGCGGGGCUAGAGUGCAGAAGGGGCAACUGGAAUUCUCGGUGUAGCGGUGAAAUGCGUAGAUAUCGAGAGGAACACCUGCGGCGAAGGCGGGUUGCUGGCUGACACUGACGCUGAUGCGCGAAAGCUAGGGGAGCGAACGGG
rnacentral:rRNA from 1 species